rnacentral:rRNA from 1 species
AACGUACGCUGGCGGCACGCCUAACACAUGCAAGUCGAACGAAGUAGCAAUACUUAGUGGCAGACGGGUGAGUAACAUGUAGGUAUCUGCCCUUUGGCCUGGAAUAACACGAGGAAACUUGUGCUAAUACCGGAUAAGUCUUUACGGAGAAAGCUUUAUGCACCAUUGGAUGAGCCUGCACUUGAUUAGUUUGUUGGUGGGGUAAUGGCCUACCAAGACUGUGAUCAAUAGCUGAUUUGAGAGGAUGAUCAGCCACAUUGGGACUGAGACACGGCCCAAACUCCUACGGGAGGCAGCAGUGGGGAAUCUUGCACAAUGGAGGAAACUCUGAUGCAGCGAUGCCGCGUGAGUGAAGAAGGCCCUUGGGUUGUAAAGCUCUUUCGUCGGGGAAGAAAAUGACUGUACCCGAAUAAGAAGGUCCGGCUAACUUCGUGCCAGCAGCCGCGGUAAUACGAAGGGACCUAGCGUAGUUCGGAAUUACUGGGCUUAAAGAGUUCGUAGGUGGUUGAAAAAGUUAGUGGUGAAAUCCCAGAGCUUAACUCUGGAACUGCCAUUAAAACUUUUCAGCUAGAGUAUGAUAGAGGAAAGCAGAAUUUCUAGUGUAGAGGUGAAAUUCGUAGAUAUUAGAAAGAAUACCAAUUGCGAAGGCAGCUUUCUGGAUCAUUACUGACACUGAGGAACGAAAGCAUGGGUAGCGAAGAGGAUUAGAUACCCUCGUAGUCCAUGCCGUAAACGAUGUGUGUUAGACGUUGGAAAUUUAUUUUCAGUGUCGCAGGGAAACCGAUAAACACACCGCCUGGGGAGUACGACCGCAAGGUUAAAACUCAAAUGAAUUGACGGGGACCCGCACAAGUAGUGGAGCAUGUGGUUUAAUUCGAAGAUACGCGCAGAACCUUACCAACACUUGACAUGUUCGUCGCGACUUUAAGAGAUUAAAGUUUUCGGUUCGGCCGGACGAAACACAGGUGCUGCAUGGCUGUCGUCAGCUCGUGUCGUGAGAUGUUGGGUUAAGUCCCGCAACGAGCGCAACCCUCACUUUUAGUUGCCAUCAUUUAGUUGGGCACUCUGAAAGAACUGCCAGUGAUAAGCUGGAGGAAGGUGGGGAUGACGUCAAGUCCUCAUGGCCCUUACGUGUUGGGCUACACACGUGCUACAAUGGUAUCUACAACAGGAAGCAAGACUGCGAAGUUAAGCAAAUCCCUAAAAGAUACCUCAGUUCGGAUUGCACUCUGCAACUCGAGUGCAUGAAGCUGGAAUUACUAGUAAUCGUGGAUCAGCGUGCCACGGUGAAUGCGUUCCCGGGUCU